rnacentral:rRNA from 1 species
AGUGAACGCUGGCGGUAGGCCUAACACAUGCAAGUCGAACGGCAGCACAGUAAGAUCUUGCUCUUACGGGUGGCGAGUGGCGGACGGGUGAGGCAUACAUCAGAAUCUACUUUUUCGGGGGGGAUAACGUAGGGAAACUUACGCUAACACCGCACACGACCUACGGGUGAAAUCAGAGGAGCUUCGUACUUUUCGCGACUGAAUGAGCCGAUGUCGGAUUAGCUAGUUGGCGAGGUAAAGGCUCACCAAGCCAACGAUACGUAGCUGGUCUGAGAGGAUGAUCCGCCACACUGGAACUGAGACACGGUCCAGAAUCCUACGGGAGGCAGCAGUGGGGAAUGUUGGGCAAUGGGCGCAAGCCUGAUCCAGCCAUACCGCGUGGGUGAAGAAGGCCUUCGGGUUGUAAAGCUCUUUUGUUAGGAAAGAAAAGCAGCAGGUUAAUACCCCGCUGUUCUGACGGUACCCAAAGAAUAAGCACCGGCUAACUUCGUG